rnacentral:rRNA from 1 species
GAUGAACGCUGGCGGCGUGCUUAACACAUGCAAGUCGUACGGAAAGGCUCCUGCUUGCAGGGGUACUCGAGUGGCGAACGGGUGAGUAACACGUGGGUGAUCUGCCCUGCACUUCGGGAUAAGCCUGGGAAACUGGGUCUAAUACCGGAUAGGACGAUGGUUUGGAUGCCAUUGUGGAAAGUUUUUCGGUGUGGGAUGAGCUCGCGGCCUAUCAGCUUGUUGGUGGGGUAAUGGCCUACCAAGGCGUCGACGGGUAGCCGGCCUGAGAGGGUGUACGGCCACAUUGGGACUGAGAUACGGCCCAGACUCCUACGGGAGGCAGCAGUGGGGAAUAUUGCACAAUGGGCGCAAGCCUGAUGCAGCGACGCCGCGUGGGGGAUGACGGCCUUCGGGUUGUAAACUCCUUUCGCUAGGGACGAAGCGCAAGUGACGGUACCUGGAGAAGAAGCACUGGCUAACUACGUG